UAUGCUCAUAUCACAUUGAAACAUCAGUUCCCGUAUGAUCACUGAAGUUAAGCAAUAUCAAGCCUGGUCAGUACCUAGAUGGGUAAUUGCUUGGGAAUACCAUGUGAUGUAAG